GACGAACGCUGGCGGCGUGCCUAAUACAUGCAAGUAGAACGCACAGUUUAUACCGUAGCUUGCUACACCAUAGACUGUGAGUUGCGAACGGGUGAGUAACGCGUAGGUAACCUGCCUGGUAGCGGGGGAUAACUAUUGGAAACGAUAGCUAAUACCGCAUAAUAUUGAUUAUUGCAUGAUAAUUGAUUGAAAGAUGCUAUUGCAUCACUACCAGAUGGACCUGCGUUGUAUUAGCUAGUAGGUGAGGUAACGGCUCACCUAGGCGACGAUACAUAGCCGACCUGAGAGGGUGGUCGGCCACACUGGGACUGGGACACGGCCCAGACUCCUACGGGAGGCAGCAGUAGGGAAUCUUCGGCAAUGGACGAAAGUCUGACCGAGCAACGCCGCGUGAGUGAAGAAGGUUUUCGGAUCGUAAAGCUCUGUUGUAAGAGAAGAACGGGUGUGAGAGUGGAAAGUUCACACUGUGACGGUAUCUUACCAGAAAGGGACGGCUAACUACGUG
rnacentral:rRNA from 1 species